CAGGAGAAUAAUCCAUACCAUCAGUUAAGGUCCCAAAAUAUGGCUCAGUGAAAAAGGAUGUGAUUUUGCUUAGACAAUGGGGAUGUUGGCUUAGAGGCAGCCAUCAUUUAAACAGUGCGUAACAGCUGACCCAUCGAGCGAAAUUGCGCCGAAAAUGAUCGGGACUUAAGCCAUAUACCGAAGCUAUGGGUGCACCGCAAGGUGCGCAGUAGGAAAGCGUCCCAAGUGCAGCGAAGUGGAAGGGGUAACCGACCAUGGAGCGCUUGGGAGUGAGAAUGCAGACAUAAGUAACGAUAAAGAUGGUUAAAUUCCAUCUCGCCGAAAUCCCAAGGAUUCCUGGGGAAGGUUCGUCCUCCCAGGGUUAGUCGGGUGCUAAGAUGAGGCCGUAAGGAGUAGUCGAUGCCAAUCUGGUUUAAUAUUCCAGAACCACUUUACUUGCGUUCGAUCUAUGGAGUGACGGAGAAAGUUAACGUGGCAACGUGUUGAAUCGUUGUCCAAGCUUGUCGGCUGCCCGGGGAUAAAAGACUGGGUAAGGCUUAAGAGCGACGGGACCCUGAGGCCACGGCUGAUGGGGAUCGCGUGAUACUACGCUUCCAAGAAAAGCUUCGUAGUUAGCAAGUGGAGUGCCCGUACCGUAAACCGACACAGGUGGGAAAGAUGAGUAUUCUAAGGCGCGCAGGUUAAUUCUCUCUAAGGAACUCGGCAAAUUAGCCCCGUAUCUUCGGUAGAAGGGGUGCCCCGCAAGGGGCCGCAGUUAAUUGCGUCAACCGACUGUUUAUCAAAAACACAGCACUCUGCUAAGUCGCAAGACGACGUAUAGGGUGUGACACGUGACCAAUGCGGAAAGGUGAAAGUCUAGGGUGCAAGCUCUGGAUCUAAGCCCCCGUGAAUGUCGGCCGUAACUAUAACGGUCCUAAGGUAGCGAAAUUCCUUGUCGGGUAAGUUCCGACCCGCACGAAUCGUGUAACGAGUUGACGACUGUCUCGGAGAGAGGCCUGGUGAAAUUGUAGUGGCGGUGAAGAUGCCGCCUACCCGCAGCAGGACGGAAAGACCCUAUGCACCUUUACUGUAAGCUGUUAUUGUCGCUUGAUUUUUAAUACGUAGAAUAGGUGGGAGACUUCGAAGCCCGGUCUCAGGAUCGGGCUGAGUCACAACGUGAAAUACCACUUUUUAAUUGUUAGGCGUCUAACCUCAUACCAUUAACUGGUUGUGGGACAGUGAUAGCAGGUCAGUUUUUCUGGGGCGGAAUCCUCCCAAAGAGUAACGGAGGAUUACGAAGGUUCCCUCGGCCCGGUCGGUAAUCGGGCUAUAGAGCGCAUGAGUAUAAGGGAGCUUUACUGUGAGACCUACAAGUCGAGCAGUUGCGAAAGCAGGUUCAAGUGAUCCGGUGGUUGAAUGUGGAAUCGCCAUCGCUCAUAGGACAAAAGGUACGCUAGGGAUAACAGGCUGAUCGCGCCCAAGCGUUCACAGCGACGGCGCGGUUUGGCACCUCGAUGUCGGCUCAUCACAUCCUGGGGCUGGAGAAGGUCCCAAGGGUUUG
rnacentral:rRNA from 1 species